UACGUAGGGGGCAAGCGUUGUCCGGAAUCAUUGGGCGUAAAGCGCGUGAUAGGCGGCUGGGUAAGUCCGCUCUGAAAGCCCGGGGCUCAACCCCGGGAGGCGGGUGGAUACUGCUCAGCUCGAGUCCGGAAGAGGAGUGUGGAAUUCCUGGUGGUAGCGGUGAAAUGCGCAGAUAUCAGGAGGAACACCAAUGGCGAAAGGCGCGACUCUGGGACGGUACUGACGCGAGACGCGAAAGCGUGGGGAGCAAACAGG
rnacentral:rRNA from 1 species